UGGCGGCGUGCUUAAUACAUGCAAGUAGAACGCUGAAGACUUUAGCUUGCUAAAGUUGGAAGAGUUGCGAACGGGUGAGUAACGCGUAGNUAACCUGCCUACUAGCGGGGGAUAACUAUUGGAAACGAUAGCUAAUACCGCAUAACAGCAUUUAACCCAUGUUAGAUGCUUGAAAGGAGCAAUUGCUUCACUAGUAGAUGGACCUGCGUUGUAUUAGCUAGUUGGUGAGGUAACGGCUCACCAAGGCGACGAUACAUAGCCGACCUGAGAGGGUGAUCGGCCACACUGGGACUGAGACACGGCCCAGA
rnacentral:rRNA from 1 species